CGAAGGGGCUAGCGUUGCUCGGAAUUACUGGGCGUAAAGGGCGCGUAGGCGGUUCGGUCAGUCAGGCGUGAAAUUCCCGGGCUUAACCUGGGACUGCGCUUGAUACGGCCGGACUAGAGGACAGGAGAGGGUCGUGGAAUUCCCAGUGUAGAGGUGAAAUUCGUAGAUAUUGGGAAGAACACCGGUGGCGAAGGCGGCGACCUGGCCUGUUACUGACGCUGAGGCGCGAUAGCGUGGGGAGCAAACAGGAUU
rnacentral:rRNA from 1 species